CCUACGGGGGGCUGCAGUGGGGAAUUUUCCGCAAUGGGCGAAAGCCUGACGGAGCAAUACCGCGUGAGGGAUGACGGCCUAUGGGUUGUAAACCUCUUUUUUCAGGGAGGAAAAAAAUGACGUUACCUGAAGAAUAAGCAUCGGCUAACUCCGUGCCAGCAGCCGCGGUAAGACGGGGGAUGCAAGUGUUAUCCGGAAUCACUGGGCGUAAAGCGUCUGUAGGUGGUUUAAUAAGUCAACUGUUAAAUCUUGAGGCUCAACCUCAAAACCGCAGUCGAAACUAUUAGACUAGAGUAUAGUAGGGGUAAAGGGAAUUUCCAGUGGAGCGGUGAAAUGCGUAGAGAUUGGAAAGAACACCGAUGGCGAAGGCACUUUACUGGGCUAUUACUAACACUGAGAGACGAAAGCUAGGGUAGCAAAUGGGAUUAGAUACCCCUGUAGUC
rnacentral:rRNA from 1 species